UACGAGGGGGGCGAGCGUUGUUCGGAAUUACUGGGCGUAAAGGGCGCGUAGGCGGUGUGUCAAGUCAGGCGUGAAAGCCCCGGGCUCAACCUGGGAACCGCGCUUGAGACUGGCACGCUAGAGUUCGGGAGAGGAUGGUGGAAUUCCCAGUGUAGAGGUGAAAUUCGUAGAUAUUGGGAAGAACACCGAUGGCGAAGGGCAGCCAUCUGGACCGACACUGACGCUGAGGCGCGAAAGCGUGGGGAGCAAACAGG
rnacentral:rRNA from 1 species